CUGCAUCCUUCGUAAACCCCCGGAUGCUGAUUGUAGCUUCUGGGACAAGGAAGGAUGCCAGAUCAGUUAAGAGAUUCCAAAGCUGAAAGUCUUUUCUGUGGCUUUUGGUUAUUUCAACUCUUGCACAU